AUUGAACGCUGGCGGCAUGCUUUACACAUGCAAGUCGAACGGCAGCACGGGCUUCGGCCUGGUGGCGAGUGGCGAACGGGUGAGUAAUAUAUCGGAACGUACCCAGAAGUGGGGGAUAACGUAGCGAAAGUUACGCUAAUACCGCAUACGAUCUAUGGAUGCAAGCAGGGGACCGCAAGGCCUUGUGCUCCUGGAGCGGCCGAUAUCUGAUUAGCUAGUUGGUGAGGUAAAGGCUCACCAAGGCGACGAUCAGUAGCUGGUCUGAGAGGACGACCAGCCACACUGGAACUGAGACACGGUCCAGACUCCUACGGGAGGCAGCAGUGGGGAAUUUUGGACAAUGGGCGCAAGCCUGAUCCAGCAAUGCCGCGUGAGUGAAGAAGGCCUUCGGGUUGUAAAGCUCUUUUGUCAGGGAAGAAACGGUAGAGGCUAAUAUCCUUUGCUAAUGACGGUACCUGAAGAAUAAGCACCGGCUAACUACGUG
rnacentral:rRNA from 1 species